GAUGAACGCUGGCGGCGUGCCUAAUACAUGCCAGUCGAGCGAACAGAUGAGGAGCUUGCUCCUCUGACGUUAGCGGCGGACGGGUGAGUAACACGUGGAUAACCUACCUAUAAGACUGGGAUAACUUCGGGAAACCGGAGCUAGUACCGGAUAAUAUAUUGAACCGCAUGGUUCAAUAGUGAAAGACGGUUUUGCUGUCACUUAUAGAUGGAUCCGCGCCGCAUUAGCUAGUUGGUAAGGUAACGGCUUACCAAGGCAACGAUGCGUAGCCGACCUGGGAGGGUGAGCGGCCACACUGGAACUGAGACACGGUCCAGACUCCUACGGGAGGCAGCAGUAGAGAAUCUGCCGCAAUGGGCGAAAGCCUGACGGAGCAACGCCGCGGGAGUGAUGAAGGUCUUCGGAUCGUAAAACUCUGUUAUUAGGGAAGAACAAAUGUGUAAGUAACUAUGCACGUCUUGACGGUACCUAAUCAGAAAGCCACGGCUAACUAC
rnacentral:rRNA from 1 species